GGGAGCCAGUCUAACUUCUCUAGGGAGGGAGUUUUAAAGUUUGGGAGAAGGCCCUCUGCCAUGCCCCUACCAAGUGCGCCUGCGAGGGUGGCAGCUCUGAGAGAAGAGAACUCAAAACCCAACCGGGUUCAUAGAUUAAUAGAAUUUUAGAGUUGGAAAGGACCCAAGUCCAACCCCCUGUGAUGCUAGAAUCAAUUCAAGAAUCCCUGGCAGGUGGCAAUCGAACCUCUGGUUACAAACCCCCAAUCGUAUGAGGAAAUAGUUUCAGAUAGUUUGAACCUAAGUCAUAUAUGUUACUUGUCUUGUCGUGUUGUGAACUACCCUGGUAUUAUUGAUGAAGGGCUGAAUAGAAGUUGUGUUUAAAAAAAACAAAACAGAUGAAAACUUUUAAUAACUAUUUCUUAAAUAGGACAAACGCUUUACAGAAAACAGCCAAUCUAACUUGUUUUACGUGUCUGCUUUUAAUUUUCUAUUGUACUAUUGUAUGAACUAGAAAAAUGAACCCAGGAUGAGACUACGCUGGUGGGCAGGGAUUAUGCAAAUAGAACGAAGUUUGACUAGCAAUGGAUGGGUGCCUACAGGCAGAGAACAGGUUUAGUUCCCAUACACUGGUGCUCUUCUAUGCAAUUUGAGGUUCCUCCGAGUCUGGCUUGGAAGAAAGCUUGGAAAGGUGAUGUUUUAAACUUCCACAGACUCUUCUCUGUCUUAAAACUACCACCUUUCCACGUCCUCAAAAGCUCUGUAUGCCAGCUUUCUCCAUCCUCAUUGAAGUAGUUGAUGUUUUAAGCAAAUCUGACAGGCUCCUCCAAAUCAGUGUAUAUCCAGCCCAUAUCACUUUCACAAGUUUACAUUUGUAAGUCUGUUCUGUCCCAUUUAUGCACUAAUCUGUGAUUUUUGUUUAAAAACUCUAAAUCUUGCACUUAAAUCAUAUUUAAAUACAGUCCUUAAAUAUAUUUCUUUCACAGUUCACAUUUCUAAACAAAUUUUAUCUCCAAAUAUUCAUUUUAAAAUGCAUUUUGAUACUUUUUUUAAAGUGAAAAACUGUGUCACAACUUGAGCAGAAAUGCUAAAUCCUAUGGACAGCUAGGCUCCAAGAUGCCCAUUAGCCCAGAUCAGUAUCAACAUAGACCAGAAAAAGGCUAUGCAUUCAUCCUCUGUUUAAUUGCCGGUAGCUUACAAUGCAAGCCAUGUCUGCUCAGAAGUAAGUACUAUGGAAUUCAUUUGGGCUUGUUCUCAGAUAAAUGGGGCUAGGAUAACAGUCUUAGUCUCACUUUCAUUUGGUGAACAGGACAAAGGGUUCCCCUAUGUGGUGCCUGCAAUUUGCCAUAAAGACCUUCUCUGGUUCUCACCAGAUCCUUUCCCCCUGUUUGAAAGCAACAGUCUACUGUGACCAUCAUAAUAGAUGGGUAUGAGUGUAUUGUUACUUAAAUAAUUUCUAUACCGUGUUAUAUUUUGAAAAAUAAAUCUCAAAGUGGUUUACAACCUAGCUUAAAACAUCCAAAUAAGCCUUUACAGUAAUACCUAAAUAAAACUUUACAGAUAAAGGUCAAACACAAAAUUCAUGUUUAAAGCAGCAUGAUUAAUAGGAAAACAAAAAAUACUCUCUCAAACAUGAAAGGCGAACACUGCAGGUAAAAAACUGAAACUCAAAAAUGAAAGAGAACUCUCAUUAGCAACAACGCAAAGUAACUGAAAUUGAAACAGUCACCAUUCCCAAAUACUCCCCAUGCAAAGCUCUCAUGUAUUCCCACCAACCCUAUGGAUAACACAGUUAUUCCUCUGCCAACCAUUUAUUUCAAAGCAAGAAUCUGGUCUACAAAACCCCAUAGCAGUAUUAAGCAUAAUUUACAACCAACUCAUUCACCCACCUCCAUCUAGGGCAAUCUAGUAUAAUAAAAGCAGCAACGGAACCACUCCCUCCUUAGGGCUGUUCUCUAUACCCGUUCCGUCUCUCUCACUGACUCAUAUUAGGCAACUUUAAAACACAGAAAUACAUUACAACCCAGUCUCAGUAAAAACAUGAUUUUUACUGAAAACUCUGAUUCCAGUUACCAACCAAUAAUACAUUGCUCCCUUUCUCCUACUAGAUAAUACAUCCAACAGAACAAAAUUAAAGGGGUGAUUACCUCAGGUGACCCGAGAAACAAAGAUGGAAGGAUUUAACCAUUUCCGUUUCCUCGGUUUCUUGUUUUUUCAAUCUUAAAUUAGUUCUCGGCAUUUGGCAGCAAUUUGUGGUAUAUUUAUAAUAAAUUAAUAAUAAUUGCAUUAUUGUAUUAUUUCUACCCCACCCAUUUAAAAAAUCCUUAUGAAAAUUCAUUGUCAUUUUAGUGCUAAUUUCAAUUCACAACCAUAUUUUUAAGUGCAGUUUUGUACACGUUUUUGCAUGCAGAUUUCCACAAUAAAAUGCAUUUUUGUAUGCUGUUUUCAACAAUAUCUUAAUUUUUAUGCAUUUGUAUUUUUGUAAACAUUGUUUGGAGAACAGCAUUGGCAAAAUUCUGAUAAGUGCAAAUUUUGAAGGAGAGCUGUGUUUUGCUCCACAUAUUAUUCUGGAAAGUGUGAAUUUGAUGGAGUUAGUUUUAUAGAAUCAUAGAAUUAUACGUUGGAAGAGAUCCCAAGGGUCAUCUAGUUCAACCCCCUGUAAUGCAGGAGUCUCAACUGAAGCAUCCAUGACAGAUGGCUGCCCAACCAGGGAAUGAGAUGCAAGUCAAUUAGCUGCAGCUGUUUCCACUUGCCUGCUCCUCUGGAAUCAGCAACAGGAUCUUGGCUGGCAGGACAACCAGGAACAGGGUGGGCAGAAGGAUGGACUUGCCUCUGUCCUGUCACAGGAUCCCUCAGCAGCUGCUGCCACAAGGGAAACUGAAAUAUAUUUCAUGCUCUUUAUUUCAGCUCAUGGUCAUCAGUGAGUGAGUGAGUUCCCCCCCAAAACCUCUGGCUAUAUAUGCAUUAUUUAUACAAUGGGUCCCGCGUGAUUGGCUGAUUCAGUUCCCCUCCUGGAGCCUGAUUGAGCUGCUCCUGCAGACCAAUCAAGUUGCUGCCUUCUAGGAUCCUAGAGCAGGUCAGUGAAGUGACCAAAACAAGUUUAUUCAGUUUGCUCAUGUGCCCCCCCAAAGUUGACUACUGCUAGUAAAGGGGUUUGCGAAGGGGCUUGAAAGAGACAUCAUCGUAGUUAUGGCUUAGUAAUCUUAUCUGUAUAUGAACAGACCUUAUCCCCACUUGCCAGACAAAUAUGUAGAAUGGAACUGAGUUUCCCUGAAUGUUCUGACACAAUUCUUGGCUCAGGAAACACAUCAGAAUGUACUUUAAAAUGCAUGUUUUGAGACAGCACAUGCUUAGGAAUGCAUAUGCUGAGGGGGUAAACCCAUUUAGAAAUAUUAAUUUAAUGUGAAUAUCCGUAUCUAUCUAUAGAGAUAUAGGUAAAUGUAUAUGAAACAAGAACAGACAUAUGAGUGAACAUAUGUGAAAGUUAUAUCGAUUAUAAGGAUCAUAAACAAACUGGUUGCCUAUGCCUAGUGAGACGCUACUGAACAGGAGAAAGAGGCAGCCUGGGUUUACCAAAUGAAACCACCUUGGUUAUUUUAAGCUAGUAAGUGAGACACAGUUUGGCCAUAUUCACAGUCUGAGAAGAAUACUUUGUUGUUUGGGGAAGAGAUAUUGACUGAAGACUAGUAUGACCUGAGUAUUUGGCUGCAUGUAUCCCUGCUACUCAACUUGUAUACCGGUAUAUAAACAGACAUAGCAUUUAUAAUAAGUCUCACGUAGCUUCACAAGAAAGCUGCUUAUAUAAAAGGCUACCCUGAAACUUCCUGCAGCUUGGAGGAAGUGGAUAAUUCAGAGAAAUGCAUGCCUUGUUUUUAAAACAUCUUCAUGUAGGUACUUAAGGAUGCAAAGGACACAGCAGUCUUUCAAGGGGCAUAAGAGUAGACAGCAACCGUUUGUGCUGGGCUAUCUCAUCUGUUCUGCUUAAGGCGCUCCAACAUUUAUCUCCAUUUAGUGAACAUUGAUUAAAGUUCUGACUUGCAGCCACUGUUCCAUGUGACAUGAGACAAAUCUAGGGACAAAGGGUGAGAGACCUGGAUUUCCCUUCCUUAAAUCUUUCUUACUUAUAAAGAUCAAAUGUUGCUGUGCACUCAAAAGUAUUGGGUGACACCUAUAUUUUGGACCAAAAGGUCUUGGACUGACUGUGGACAGUGCAAAUCCCCACUCAAUAGCAGACUUUGGGCCAAUCAUGGUUACCUCUCAGGGUUGUAGUGAGGAUGAAAACAGGAAAGCCUACUCAACUUGCCAUGAUGGAUGCAAAGGUGCCAUCAGACUCCUAUUUAUUACCGGUAUCUUUUAUUUAUUGAAUUUAUAUACCUGAAAGUCUCAGGGCCAUUCACAG